UACAGUAGCACUAAGAAUACAGGGUCUCA
rnacentral:piRNA from 1 species